CAGCUCUGCCAUCUCACUCCUGUAACAGCCAGCCAGCCAACUGGAACUGGGCCAGAGACGAAGCAGGGCGGGACUCGCGGGACUUCCGGCGCCUAUGCGCGCCCCGGAAGAGCUCAUUCCGGCGACCUCGCGGUGACCAAUCAAUGCCCAGAACGCUUCCUGACGCUAGACCCCAAAAUGGCAGCCCAGCACGCUCCGUAGCCGUCCCCCCUUGGAUGUAACCAUGUAGAAGCGAAGGGGUGGAAUUGGAAAAGAGACGAGGACAGCUGCAGCUUAAUUCCGGUGUCUACUCGGACUCAGAUGCAGCGGGAAGACGGAAUGGAGCGAAUGGGGAUGGAGCCAGUGGUGCCAUGGGUGCCUCCGCUAGGAACUCUGGUCGAUGCCCGACGCGGUUUAAAGGGUAUGCUAUUUUCUGUUCUCCAAACCAAAGAGACCAGGAUGCCAGUUCCAAAGGAAUCAUCAGGACUGUUGACUAGAAGACAGAAUGGAGAAUUGGAAUGAUCUUCACAGGCUCUGUAUUUGAUGCAAUCUCCUCCUCGACAUCGGGACCAUCUCCGCCUUGACCCCCAGUCUUUGCCACAGCCAAUUCCUGGAGAUCAGUUUCCAGAUGGGCCUGAUAAUCUAUGUGAGCCUACUUCUGCUGACUCCAAAGAUCCUGAGUCUGCCGUUUGAUCCUCAAGACAAUGCCUUCCUGUCCUGGGCUCCCUCCUACGCUGCAUCCCACAAUCAGUCUAACUGCUGGAUCAGUGGAGCACUCCCCUCUUCAUCAGUGGAAGGCUGCCCAUGGGGGACAUCUCCACUUCGAGGAAAAGACUUUCUCCAAGUCUGCAAAUACAUUCGACAACAAUCAUAUGUGAUGCCUCGUCUUCAUCUGAUGACAUCUAACAACCCUAAGAUGGACUGGUGCAACACUUUGUACUUUAACUAUGUACAUAACGUGACUUUUCAUUUUGAUUAUACAUUGUCUUGGUUUAAUGACUAUUUCGCUACACAUCUAGAUCUAGUGGCUUUUUACCUGACGUUUAUCAAAUACGGGAUGAUAUAAGGUUAUGUGGCGAACUCCUGAAAAAGGACGUCUAAUAUCUACUGCCCCUAUAUGCUGGGAACAAAUAGAGCCAUCCCCAGAAGUUAGCCAACAACUUAAUUAUGAUGAUUGGAAACAAUUGGGAUUUUUGCCUCAGGAAAUAUGCAAGUUAAUCAUUCCCGUACUUCCCAACCCCAGUUCAGGUCCUCCCUUUGCCUGGCCAGGCACUAAUUGGGACUGGAUAUCUCAGUCACGCUGGCUUGCUCCAAAUGGGACCUAUUGGAUAUGUGGCUCUUACCUAUGGGCAUGGCUUCCCCCUGGCUGGAUAGGGAGAUGCACCCUAGGUCUAGCUUUUACUCACGGCUUCAUAUUUUCAGAGCUUCCAGAAAAGCCUGCUAAUUUACCAUACCUUAAAACUCGGUGGGCAAGGUCUGUAUUUCACUGGUGUGAUUAUUUGGCUGCAGUGUUUGUUCCCUCUCUGGGAACCACAGAUGUUAUGCUAUGAGUGGAUGCUUUGACUAAUUUUACUCAACAGGUAUUACAAGAUUCUCAAAAAGCUAUUUCAGCUCUUAAUGCCAAACAAGCACAAAUUAGAAAGGUGGUUUUACAAAACAGAUUGGCCUUAGAUAUUCUGACAGCUGCACGAGGAGGAACUUGUGCCACUAUUCAUACCCAGUGCUGUACAUAUAUACCUGAUAUAAGCACUAAUGUUACUCAUUUUACUAAACACAGGAAUAAGAUGAUUCAGGCUAUGGAUACUCCUGCAGCCUCAAUUGCCUCACUUUGGGAGAUGUUAACUAGUUCCCCAUGGUGGAAAACUAUCUGAAUUACAAUACUUCUGUUUGUUCUGUUUUUGCUGUUUGCUCCCUGCAACUGUAACUUGUGUAGCUGGAUUUGAUUCUAGUUGCAUGAAGACUUUUAAGUUACAAAUGGUUGCUCAAACUCCUGUGACUCCUGCAGCUUCCUCUAACUACUACUUGGAGCUCCUGGAUCAGAGACCCUCAGUACGAGGGUUAGGAGAAUAUGUUGCCUCAUCAAUUUAGGGACAAUGCCCCUUAUCAGCUUGGAAGCAGUUAUGGAAUGAGACUGAUGCCCCUUUCCCUAGGCAACAUAAUUCUCCUAAAAGAAAAGGGGGGGGAAUGAGAGGAUAACAGGCAGGAAGGCGAGGGGUCUCCAAAUGGAGGAAAUAGGCUGCAAGUGUCAGACAUUUUUUCUCUCUCUCUCUUAAGAGGCAGGCGGAGAAGGCAAUGGCACCCCACUCCAGUACUCUUGCCUGGAAAAUCCCAUGGACGGAGGAACCUGGUGGGCUGCAGUCCAUUGGCUCGCUAAGAGUCGAACAUGACUGAGCGACUU